rnacentral:rRNA from 1 species
ACGCUCGACACCUACGGGAUGCAGCAGUGGGGAAUAUUGCACAAUGGGGGAAACCCUGAUGCAGCGACGCCGCGUGAGCGAAGAAGUAUUUCGGUAUGUAAAGCUCUAUCAGCAGGGAAGAAACUGACGGUACCUGACUAAGAAGCACCGGCUAAAUACGUGCCAGCAGCCGCGGUAAUCUGAGCGGGCUGGCAAGGC